UGUUUAGCAAGACAGGUACUUGCAGGUCAAAAAAUACAUUGAGUUUUUCGUGGUUGUAGACAACGUAAUGUACAGGAAAUAUACCAGCAAUUUACGUGCUAUAAAAAGAAGAGUAUAUGAAAUGGUCAACACUUUAAAUAUGGUAAGAGGACAUGGCAAAAAUUAUUUCACUUGUUAGAUUUAAACUUCUCUUAGCCCCAUCCCUGUGUUCACACAAGACACUUAACCAGGUAAAGAGAGCUAGGAGAUGGACUUUUGUAAGAAUGCUAACUUUUGUGGCUUCAGGGGAGGCAAAAGUGGGUCAUUUGGUCAGCUGGUCAUCCAGCAUAUAAGGUCAUCCUUGAAAAUGGGUUAAUUCAGUAACUAGGUUAAUAAGCCUCUUAUGUGAAUACAGCCACAGUAUUGGGAGAAUGCUAAUCCAAAAAUGUUUCAAGAAUUCAAUCAGAACUAUAUAUGUAGCUGGAUUCUUUGAGGGCUGUGGUUAAUGGUUCUGAACUUGGACAUUAGGAAGAGGUGGACAGAGUCAGUUGAUUAUUGAACUGAUCCUGAGAAGAAACCUGGAGAGAGGAACUCAAUUUGAGUUGGGUUGUGGUACCUAUGGGGAGAUAUACUCCUAUUGUAGUCUCCAAUUAGCCUUGUUUAGAGACAACAGAAAGA